AGGAUCAUUAUUGAAAUAAACCUGACGGGUUGUUGCUGGCUCUCUAGGGAGCAUGUGCACGCCUUGUCAUCUUUAUAUCUCCACCUGUGCACUUUUUGUAGACCUUUCGGGUCUAUGUUGCUUCAAUUUACCCCAAUGUAUGUUAAUAGAAUGUUGUGCCUAUAAUAAUAUAUACAACUUUCAGCAACGGAUCUCUUGGCUCUCGCAUCGAUGAAGAACGCAGCGAAAUGCGAUAAGUAAUGUGAAUUGCAGAAUUCAGUGAAUCAUCGAAUCUUUGAACGCACCUUGCGCUCCUUGGUAUUCCGAGGAGCAUGCCUGUUUGAGUGUCAUUAAUAUAUAUCAACCUUCUCCUUGUUGAGAGGUUUGGAUGUGGGGGUUUGCUGGCCUUUAUAAAAAGGUUCAGCUCCUCUGAAAUGCAUUAGCAGAACAAACCUGUUCAUUGGUGUGAUAACUAUCUACGCUAUUGAAUGUGAGGGGCAGUUCAGCUUUCUAACCGUCCUUGGACAAAUUCAUCAUUAAUGUGACCUCAAAUCAGGUAGGACUACCCGCUGAACUUAAGCAUAUCAAUAAGCGGAGGAAAAGAAACUAACAAGGAUUCCCCUAGUAACUGCGAGUGAAGCGGGAAAAGCUCAAAUUUAAAAUCUGGCGGUCUUUGGCCGUCCGAGUUGUAAUCUAGAGAAGUGUUAUCCGCGCUGGACCGUGUACAAGUCUCCUGGAAUGGAGCAUCAUAGAGGGUGAGAAUCCCGUCUUUGACAUGGACUGCCAGGGCUUUGUGAUGCGCUCUCAAAGAGUCGAGUUG
rnacentral:rRNA from 1 species